GACGAACGCUGGCGGCGUGCCUAAUACAUGCAAGUUGAGCGAUGAAGAUUGGUGCUUGCACCAAUUUGAAGAGCAGCGAACGGGUGAGUAACGCGUGGGGAAUCUGCCUUUGAGCGGGGGACAACAUUUGGAAACGAAUGCUAAUACCGCAUAACAACUUUAAACAUAAGUUUUAAGUUUGAAAGAUGCAAUUGCAUCACUCAAAGAUGAUCCCGCGUUGUAUUAGCUAGUUGGUGAGGUAAAGGCUCACCAAGGCGAUGAUACAUAGCCGACCUGAGAGGGUGAUCGGCCACAUUGGGACUGAGACACGGCCCAAACUCCUACGGGAGGCAGCAGUAGGGAAUCUUCGGGAAUGGACGAAAGGCUGACCGAGCAACGCCGCGUGAGUGAAGAAGGUUUUCGGAUCGGAAAACUCUGUUGGUAGAGAAGAACGUUGGUGGGAGUGGAAAGCUCAUCAAGUGACGGUAACUACCCAGAAAGGGACGGCUAACUACGUG
rnacentral:rRNA from 1 species